GGAGAGGUGGCCGAGCGGUCGAAGGCGCACGAUUGGAAAUCGUGUAUACGGCAACGUAUCGAGGGUUCGAAUCCCUCUCUCUCCGCCA
rnacentral:tRNA from 1 species